rnacentral:rRNA from 1 species
AGCUCCAAUAGCGUAUAUUAAAGUUGCUGCAGUUAAAAAGCUCGUAGUUGCAUUUCCGAGGCAAGGGAUUAGUCCGACCUUUGGUGGGUAUUUAAUCCUCUUGCCUCGUCCUUGAGUGGUGCUUCUUGGUAUUAAGUUAUCGAGGAGAUAGCCGCUCAUCGUUUACUGUGAGAAAAUUAGAGUGUUCAAAGCAGGCUUAUGCCGUUGAAUAUAUUAGCAUGGAAUAAUAAGAUAGGACCUCGGUACUAUUUUGUUGGUUUGAGAACCAAGGUAAUGAUGAAUAGGGACAGUUGGGGGUAUUCGUAUUCAGUUGGCAGAGGUGAAAGUCUUAGAUUUACGGAAGACGAACUACUGCGAAAGCAUUUACCAAGGAUGUUUUCA